rnacentral:rRNA from 1 species
CCUACGGGUGGCAGCAGUGAGGAAUAUUGGUCAAUGGUCGCAAGACUGAACCAGCCAAGCCGCGUGAGGGAUGACGGUACUCUGAGUUGUAAACCUCUUUUGUAAGGGAACAAAGGCGGGUACGUGUCCCUGUCUGAGUGUACCUUACGAAUAAGCAUCGGCUAACUCCGUGCCAGCAGCCGCGGUAAUACGGAGGAUUCGAGCGUUAUCCGGAUUUAUUGGGUUUAAAGGGUGCGUAGGCGGUCUGUUAAGUCAGCGGUGAAAGUCCGGGGCUCAACCCCGGCCUUGCAGUUGAUACUGGUAGUCUUGAGUGGAGUAGAGGUAGGCGGAAUGUGUGGUGUAGCGGUGAAAUGCUUAGAGAUCAGGCAGAACGCCGAUUGCGAAGGCAGCUUGCCG